UACGUAGGGGGCAAGCGUUGUCCGGAUUUAUUGGGCGUAAAGAGCGUGUAGGCGGCCAAGUAAGUCUGCUGUGAAAACUCGAGGCUUAACCUCGAGCUGUCGGCGGAAACUAUUUGGCUAGAGUCCGGAAGAGGAGAAUGGAAUUCCCGGUGUAGCGGUGAAAUGCGCAGAUAUCGGGAAGAACACCCGUGGCGAAGGCGGUUCUCUGGGACGGUACUGACGCUGAGACGCGAAAGCCAGGGGAGCAAACGGG
rnacentral:rRNA from 1 species